rnacentral:rRNA from 1 species
GGCAAACGGUGGAUGCCUUGGCAUCAGGAGCCGAUGAAGGACGUAGGAACCUGCGAUAAGCCUCGGGUAGUUGGUAACCGAACUGUGAUCCGAGGAUUUCCGAAUGGGGCAACCCGGCUGGAGUCAUGUCCAGUCACCUGCACCUGAAUAUAUAGGGUGUGUGGAGGGCACGAGGGGAAGUGAAACAUCUCAGUACCCGUAGGAAGAGAAAAC